GACAGAGGGUGCAAGCGUUGUUCGGAAUUAUUGGGCGUAAAGCGCGCGUAGGCGGUCUGCAAAGUCGGGUGUGAAAUCCCGGGGCUCAACCCCGGAAGUGCAUUCGAAACUAACAGACUUGAGUCUCGGAGAGGAUGGCGGAAUUCCUGGUGUAGAGGUGAAAUUCGUAGAUAUCAGGAGGAACAUCCGUGGCGAAGGCGGCCAUCUGGACGAUGACUGACGCUGAGGUGCGAAAGCGUGGGGAGCAAACAGG
rnacentral:rRNA from 1 species